rnacentral:lncRNA from 1 species
ACAAAUAUUUAUUGAUUUAAUCUUCCUGACGACUCAGGAAGAUGGCAGCGAGCCUGUCUCUCUCGGGUGAAGAAAUCAGCUCUGUAUUGGAUAAGUUGCAUACCAUCCAAAUAAUCAAUCGGAACUAGCAUCAUCCCUUGAAUUGCCAGAUUUUCUGAUAUCUACUUAUCUGCCCCAUCCAUUUUAUCACCUGUAACUGUGGACAAGGCAGCAGUAUUCUUUCUGGUAUAAUGUGCUAUUUCUCUCUCAGCACAGCCCAAGUAUUAUUACCCAGAUGAAAACAACCUGAUAGGAUCCCAUCCUAUCCCAGAACUUGAGAGAAGCUUCAGGAGAGAAGAAGCCAUGUCUUAAGCUUCAUGAAAGCCCAGAGCACAGUCUGCGCAUGAAAGCAUAAACGGGUAGAGAUUUUAACUGACUAAAGCUCAAAAGAACUAUAACUUAAUAAAAUUACAUUACACACACACACACACACACACACACACACACCAUCCUUGAAUAGUCUAUUUAAAAUUGUAUGUGUUUUAAACAGAGGCUAUGACAAUAUAAGCUAUAUUUCAGGAUAACACUGAGUGUCCACACCGCACACUGGGCUAUCUCAAGGAUUUUACUCAUACUAGAUUAUCUCGGGAACAAGUCCACACAGGCACUGGCACGUCUCUCACUUUACAGAGGAAAAAAACUGACGGAAGUUAACUUUCCCUGGGGUAUAGCUGGUGAGUAGUGGGUAGUAGUUGGAGCUUGGUGACAUUCAGAGUACAUGUUUGUAACUGUUCUACUGACCCGUCCCCACGGACUGAAUAUCAGACAUUGCCCUCAAGCCUCACUGAAGUCUCACAAUGGCCCAGCAACAGACUUACACUCAUAGAAACUGGUGGUGGCCUGGCCAGUUGCAGUUCAAUAUUCUAGAGUAUAUAAAUCAACCCAACUGUAUUGCUGACAACUACCUUAUUCCAUGGACAACACUCAUCCUGUAACAAGUGAAAAAGUUGUUGAAAACAAAAAAUUGAAAAUUACGGUUACAUUUUGCUUUCGAUAAUUAAAACUUUGGCUUUACAGCCCAUUAACCUUGUCAUUGGCCACACUUUAUUUUCACCACAUACAAUCUCACAGCCUCGGUGCUAUUUUUCAUUGGUUGUCUUUAAGUCAUUUUAUGUCCAUCUAGCAUCCACUGAUAUUUCCAUUUUACAAAGAACUGUGAAGGGACAUUUCCAAGGUCUUGAAUUCUUAAUUAUUUUAUUACCCUCCUAAUCUAUGUUUUUCAUCGAAUUUGACCAUAAGUCCAAUAGCAUAGCUUCUGGCUCUAAGAUCAGAGCACAGUGGCCAUUCCAGGAUUCUGCUUAACUGGCUCUCACCUCUCCCUUAUUGCCUAACUGUCCCUCUUUGAUGACCGCCCCUCUUGUCAGCAUGUAUAAAAAGGUUCCUGUCUGUGCAUAAGUGUUUUCCGGCUUCCAGCUCUCCCACUGCCUAGCAUCUUAACCCUCCUAUGCAUAGCCAAUCAUUCAAAAUCCCAAUCUUCAGCAGGGCAUAAGGCAUGGCUGCUGUUCCACCAUAAUUCCAGUGCUUGGCAGAUCUUCCAUAAUACUUCUCUCAUUUAACAGUGAUGCUUUUAAAAGAAAGGCCACCAUGAAAAGUGACAAAUACUUUAGUGGGCUCAUUAUAAAACAGAGCAGCCAACAGUAAAAUAAGUGUGAAAAGGACUCAACUUCAUAAAGUACAAGACAAAUGAAAGUCUCAAAAGACCACACUUUAUAUAUGAUCAGUAGAUGGCCAGAGCGGGGCAACUGGAGCAUUGACAAAGGAGGUGAGCUGGCACUCCCCUUCUAAAAAGGCAAGUGGAAGGAAAUACUAGAAUUGAUACAGGCGUUCUUGAAGCAGUAACCCCACCCCUGGGCUAUACCCUACAGAUGUAAAUUAUGGUGUACACAGAAAUCCUGAUCAUUGUACUCUUAAAGAACCCAAAUUCAUGGACGGUAAAAUGUCUAAAGGAUAUUCGUACUAUGGAAUUCAGCGCUGUCAUGGAAGCAAAUGGCUGAAAAACACAGUAUGAAUUAAUCUCAUUAGCAUAUACUGGGUGAAAUAAGCCAGACACACACCAAAGCAGAACAUAUGAUGUCAUAGCUAUCAAUUACAGGAACAGACAGAACCAAGACAGGCAGUGUGAAAAGUCAGGAUGUAGCAACUCUUGGGUUCUACAGAGGCUAAACGGGGCAAGAGAGUGCCCUUAGAUUGCUGAGCACACUCUAGAUUUUGGUAGAGCUGAUGCUCAACUUGUAAAACAUUUUACAGCCCUUUCUGUCUGUUUUAUUAUAUACCACACACACACACACACACACACACAGUAUUAGCAGGACUCAGAGACCUCAGCUUACUUUGCCACAAACCUACCCUGAUCACCAGGCUUUGAAUGCACUUGUGUACACAUCUCUUCUGACAGAGGAGAUGUUGCCAUGGAGUCGAAGCGUCUGUAGCUUAGAGCAACAUCCCGCUGUUGUACAUCUACAGCAGAGGGAAGAUUCAGUGUGGUGAUGACUGCUCUUACAUCUCAGCUUUUCUCUUCACUUGAUGCUUCUUAACUUUGUGGUUCACCACCAUUAAAAGCACCCAGUGAGCCGAUUCUCGCUUUUCUAACAUUCAUACACCAAUACUUGAGCACCUAUGUGGUAUAGGAGCUUCCCUCAGCCCUGACCCUUCUAGUAGGUGCUCAUGAUGGAACAGUACCCAGGGAAGCUUGUGAGAAAUGAAAAUACAAAUAAAUCCGUAUUUAAUAAGUACAGUGAGAUACAUACCAAAUGCCUUGCAACUGGUAGGUGUGAACUCUGGCACAAUAAAUCUAAAUAUUAUUAUAUUGCGAUAAUGACUUUUCAAGUGUGUUUCAAGAAUCAAAAUCAUGUGCAGAAUACAUUUCCUAAUAUACGUAUAUGCCUCCAAGUUCCUUUUGGACCUUGUUUCAAAGCUCAGCUACUACCCUGCAGUUUGGACGCUAAGUAACAGAAUCUGAGAAAGACACAGAGUGAUCUCCCUGCACAAACAGUACCUCUAACCAUAGCUCCCUUUUAGGCACAGCAUCUGGACUUUUGCAAAAAGAAGCUCAAAGGAGUUAAGAAAAGUGAGAUUGGGUUUCCUACCUGGACACCUGCUCCUGGUCUUAGUCACGACUUCUCAUAACCUUGAGUCUCAAUUCUCAGGUGAAUUCCCCAAUCUGACAACGGGCCGCCGGCCGCGGCAGCCGCAGCGGUGGCCCGGCGGUGCGCGCCGGUGCACGUCCCUC